rnacentral:sRNA from 1 species
GCUGGGCGUGGUGGCGGACGCCUGUAAUCCCAGCUACUUGGGAGGCUGAGGCAGAGAAUUGCUUGAACCUGGGAGGCAGGGGUUGCAGUGAGCCGAGAUUGUGCCACUGCACUCCAGCCUGGGUGACACAGUGAGACUCUUUCUCAA